rnacentral:rRNA from 1 species
ACGAACGCUGGCGGCGUGCUUAACACAUGCAAGUCGAACGGAAAGGCCCUGCUUUUGUGGGGUGCUCGAGUGGCGAACGGAUGAGUAACACGUGAGUAACCUGCCCUUGACUUUGGGAUAACUUCAGGAAACUGGGGCUAAUACCGGAUAGGAGCUCCUGCUGCAUGGUGGGGGUUGGAAAGUUUCGGCGGUUGGGGAUGGACUCGCGGCUUAUCAGCUUGUUGGUGGGGUAGUGGCUUGCCAAGGCUUUGACGGGUAGCCGGCCUGAGAGGGUGACCGGCCACAUUGGGACUGAGAUACGGCCCAGACUCCUACGGGAGGCAGCAGUGGGGAAUAUUGCACAAUGGGCGGAAGCCUGAUGCAGCAACGCCGCGUGCGGGAUGACGGCCUUCGGGUUGUAAACCGCUUUCGCCUGUGACGAAGCGUGAGUGACGGUAAUGGGUAAAGAAGCACCGGCUAACUACGUG